GGGGUUAUAGCUCAGUCGGUUAGAGCGCGUCCCUGAUAAGGACGAGGCCCGUGGUUCAAGUCCACGUAACCCCA
rnacentral:tRNA from 1 species